rnacentral:rRNA from 1 species
CAGCAGCCGCGGUAAUACAGAGGGUGCAAGCGUUAAUCGGAAUUACUGGGCGUAAAGCGCACGCAGGCGGUCUGUCAAGUCAGAUGUGAAAUCCCCGGGCUUAACCUGGGAACUGCAUUUGAAACUGGCAGGCUAGAGUCUUGUAGAGGGGGGUAGAAUUCCAGGUGUAGCGGUGAAAUGCGUAGAGAUCUGGAGGAAUACCGGUGGCGAAGGCGGCCCCCUGGACAAAGACUGACGCUCAGGUGCGAAAGCGUGGGGAGCAAACAGGAUUAGAUACCCGAGUAUCCCUGUCUCUUAUACA